rnacentral:rRNA from 1 species
GAUGAACGCUGGCGGCGUGCUUAACACAUGCAAGUCGAACGGAACUGUUUGAAUGAAGUUUUCGGAUGGAUUUUAAACAGUUUAGUGGCGGUACGGGUGAGUAACGCGUGGGUAACCUGCCUCACACUUGGGGGAUAACAGUUAGAAAUAGCUGCUAAUACCGCAUAAUGCAUUGGAUUCGCAUGUUUCUGAUGCCAAAGAUUUUAUCGCUGAAAGAUGAGCUCGCGUCUGAUUAGCUAGUUGGCGGGGUAACGGCCCACCAAGUCGACGAUCAGUAGCCGGACUGAGAGGUUGACCGGCCACAUUGGGACUGAGAUACGGCCCAG